AAUAUAUCAAAGAAAGUAGGUCUGUUGACUGAGACUCCAUCCGCCUGUAAUCCUGGCCCACUUGCUAUAAUUUUGCUAGGAUCAGCCGCUGGUGUUUCUACAUUCACCACGUAUGGACUUUUUGGAAUUUCUCUUCCGGCGUACAGUAUUUUUACUUUAUGCGGCGAUGGCGUCUUCGGAGUAUAUAACACGGAAUAGGCAUAACCACGUGCCAACCCUCUUUUCAAGGCUGAAAGGCAGCAAAAUAGAGUUAUCUAUCUACUAAAUCAUGCAUAAAAAUCGUGUUACAUAUUUUUAUAUCAAGGUUGUAAUAAAAUGAAUUUCAAUUAAUUCGAGUGCUGUAACUGUUGCAAAAAAGAAAAGAAAUGUAGAGAAGUAAGAAUAAACUAUUACAUCACGUGUAUCCUGGCUUGUAAUCAAUUUAUGAUUAUGAUACAAAUGUAGCAAUUUCCGGAAUGGUGGUCAACCACAUUAUACAUGGCAAGUAGAUAAAUGGG
rnacentral:misc_RNA from 1 species